rnacentral:tRNA from 1 species
GGAGAAGUGGUGUAAUUGGUAGGCACGCCGUGGGUAGCGCGGUGAGUGUAAUAGAAAUAGGAAGUUGGUGCUUUUCCACCUUAGCAGUCAUGCUAUAGUAACAAGCCGAAUAAACUCGUCCCGGUUCGAGCCCGGGCUUCUCCU